rnacentral:misc_RNA from 1 species
GGUCGGCGUAGUAGUGGUGGUGGUGGUGGUGGUAAUAAUAAGGUGGUGGAGGAGAAGAAGGGGACUGGAAGUGUCUCGAGUAAUUCGAUGAAAGUGAAAGGGGAGAAAUUAAAGGUAGAGAAGGAAGUGAAAACGGCGGCGAGUCAAGUUUUGGUGACUCCACUGAGUUCUGUGACUCGGUCUGAUUCAAGGAGCAGUCGGAAAUUGAGACAUGCUUUGGUCUUUUAUUUUGUACGUUCAAC